rnacentral:rRNA from 1 species
UACGUAGGUCCCGAGCGUUGUCCGGAUUUAUUGGGCGUAAAGCGAGCGCAGGUCGUUUAUUAAGUCUGGUGUAAAAGGCAGUGGCUCAACCAUUGUAUGCAUUGGAAACUGGUAGACUUGAGUGCAGGAGAGGAGAGUGGAAUUCCAUGUGUAGCGGUGAAAUGCGUAGAUAUAUGGAGGAACACCGGUGGCGAAAGCGGCUCUCUGGCCUGUAACUGACACUGAGGCUCGAAAGCGCGGGGAGCAAACAGG